rnacentral:misc_RNA from 1 species
AAGUCGUAACAAGGUCUCCGUAGGUGAACCUGCGGAGGGAUCAUUACCAGAAGCCGCGUCGGCCGCAAGGCCGGCGCCUUCGCCCAACCCUUUGUGAAUCGCAUCUGAUUUCCCCGGGGGACCCCGCCCUCCGGCGGGCCCCCGGUGGACCUCUUCAACUCUUGUUGUAUCUGCCGUCGGAGUCGAUAUUCAAUCAAAACAAAACUUUCAACAACGGAUCUCUUGGUUCUG